rnacentral:rRNA from 1 species
UACGAGUGGUGCUAGCGUUAUUCGGACUAACUGGGCGUACAGGGUGCGUAGACGGCAUGGUAAGUCUGUUGUUAAAUACUUCGGCCUAACCGGAGAAAUGCAGUGGAAACUGAUGUGCUGGAGGAUGAAAGAGAGAAGUGGAAUUCCCGGAGUAGCGGUAAAAUGCGUAGAUCUCGGGAGGAACACCAAUGGCGAAGGCAGCCUCUUGGUUCAUACCUGACGUUGAGGCGCGAAAGCGUGGGGAGCAAACAGG